rnacentral:rRNA from 1 species
UGGUGGAGUGAUUUGUCUGGUUAAUUCCGAUAACGAACGAGACCUUAACCUGCUAAAUAGUUGCAUUUACUCUGGUAGAUGUUCAACUUCUUAGAGGGACUAUAGGCGUUUAGUCUAUGGAAGUUUGAGGCAAUAACA